rnacentral:rRNA from 1 species
GAUGAACGCUGGCGGCGUGCCUAAUACAUGCAAGUCGAGCGAACAGACGAGGAGCUUGCUCCUCUGACGUUAGCGGCGGACGGGUGAGUAACACGUGGAUAACCUACCUAUAAGACUGGGAUAACUUCGGGAAACCGGAGCUAAUACCGGAUAAUAUAUUGAACCGCAUGGUUCAAUAGUGAAAGACGGUUUUGCUGUCACUUAUAGAUGGAUCCGCGCCGCAUUAGCUAGUUGGUAAGGUAACGGCUUACCAAGGCAACGAUGCGUAGCCGACCUGAGAGGGUGAUCGGCCACACUGGAGCUGAGACACGGUCCAGACGCCUACGGGAGGCAGCAGUAGGGAAUCGGCCGCAAUGGGCGAAAGCCUGACGGAGCAACGCCGCGUGAGUGAUGAAGGUCUUCGGAUCGUAAAACUCUGUUAUUAGGGAAGAACAAAUGUGUAAGUAACUAUGCACGUCUUGACGGUACCUAAUCAGAAAGCCACGGCUAACUACGUG